CCCUAUACGACGCUCCUCCGCAUAUCAGUGAGGUGGGGCCGGUACUCAAUGAUACCGCCGAGAGGUAGGCUCCGAAAUGUCGCGCAUUCUCUCGUGAUGACCCCAUACAUUUGCUGGCUUCCAGUAUGUGGA